rnacentral:rRNA from 1 species
UACGUAGGGGGCAAGCGUUGUCCGGAAUCAUUGGGCGUAAAGCGCGCGUAGGCGGCCCUGUAAGUCCGUUGUGAAAGUCAAAGGCUCAACCUUUGAAAGCCGAUGGAUACUGCAGGGCUAGAGUCCGGAAGAGGCGAGUGGAAUUCCCGGUGUAGCGGUGAAAUGCGCAGAUAUCGGGAAGAACACCCGUGGCGAAGGCGGCUCUCUGGGCCUUACCUGACGCUGAGGAGCGAAAGCGUGGGGAGCAAACAGG